rnacentral:rRNA from 1 species
CAGGAUGAACGCUAGCUACAGGCUUAACACAUGCAAGUCGAGGGGCAGCAUGGUCUUAGCUUGCUAAGGCCGAUGGCGACCGGCGCACGGGUGAGUAACACGUAUCCAACCUGCCGUCUACUCUUGGACAGCCUUCUGAAAGGAAGAUUAAUACAAGAUGGCAUCAUGAGUCCGCAUGUUCACAUGAUUAAAGGUAUUCCGGUAGACGAUGGGGAUGCGUUCCAUUAGAUAGUAGGCGGGGUAACGGCCCACCUAGUCUUCGAUGGAUAGGGGUUCUGAGAGGAAGGUCCCCCACAUUGGAACUGAGACACGGUCCAAACUCCUACGGGAGGCAGCAGUGAGGAAUAUUGGUCAAUGGGCGAGAGCCUGAACCAGCCAAGUAGCGUGAAGGAUGACUGCCCUAUGGGUUGUAAACUUCUUUUAUAAAGGAAUAAAGUCGGGUAUGGAUACCCGUUUGCAUGUACUUUAUGAAUAAGGAUCGGCUAACUCCGUGCCAGCAGCCGCGGUAAUACGGAGGAUCCGAGCGUUAUCCGGAUUUAUUGGGUUUAAAGGGAGCGUAGAUGGAUGUUUAAGUCAGUUGUGAAAGUUUGCGGCUCAACCGUAAAAUUGCAGUUGAUACUGGAUAUCUUGAGUGCAGUUGAGGCAGGCGGAAUUCGUGGUGUAGCGGUGAAAUGCUUAGAUAUCACGAAGAACUCCGAUUGCGAAGGCAGCCUGCUAAGCUGCAACUGACAUUGAGGCUCGAAAGUGUGGGUAUCAAACAGGAUUAGAUACCCUGGUAGUCCACACGGUAAACGAUGAAUACUCGCUGUUUGCGAUAUACUGCAAGCGGCCAAGCGAAAGCGUUAAGUAUUCCACCUGGGGAGUACGCCGGCAACGGUGAAACUCAAAGGAAUUGACGGGGGCCCGCACAAGCGGAGGAACAUGUGGUUUAAUUCGAUGAUACGCGAGGAACCUUACCCGGGCUUAAAUUGCAGAUGAAUUACGGUGAAAGCCGUAAGCCGCAAGGCAUCUGUGAAGGUGCUGCAUGGUUGUCGUCAGCUCGUGCCGUGAGGUGUCGGCUUAAGUGCCAUAACGAGCGCAACCCUUGUUGUCAGUUACUAACAGGUUCCGCUGAGGACUCUGACAAGACUGCCAUCGUAAGAUGUGAGGAAGGUGGGGAUGACGUCAAAUCAGCACGGCCCUUACGUCCGGGGCUACACACGUGUUACAAUGGGGGGUACAGAGGGCCGCUACCACGCGAGUGGAUGCCAAUCCCCAAAACCUCUCUCAGUUCGGACUGGAGUCUGCAACCCGACUCCACGAAGCUGGAUUCGCUAGUAAUCGCGCAUCAGCCACGGCGCGGUGAAUACGUUCCCGGGCCUUGUACACACCGCCCGUCAAGCCAUGGGAGCCGGGGGUACAAGAAGUGCGUAACCGCGAGGAGCGCCCUAGGGUA